CAACACAGGUGUGUGUCUUCCUCUGGAAGCUGGUUUCACAUGGUGGCUUAGAUUUUUCCAUCUUUGUAUCUAGCACCAUUUGAAAUCAGUGUUCUAGGAGCAAGAAUUACAGCACUGGAUGU
rnacentral:pre_miRNA from 11 species